rnacentral:rRNA from 1 species
CCUACGGGCGGCAGCAGUGAGGAAUAUUGGUCAAUGGCCGGAAGGCUGAACCAGCCAAGCCGCGUGAAGGACGAAGGUGCCAAGCAUUGUAAACUUCUUUUGUCAAGGGACAAAAUCAGGCUCGAGAGCCUGACCGAGGGUACUUGAAGAAAAAGCAUCGGCUAACUCCGUGCCAGCAGCCGCGGUAAUACGGAGGAUGCGAGCGUUAUCCGGAUUAAUUGGGGUUAAAGGGAGCGUAGGCGGACUGUGAAGUCAGCGGGAAAAGCCCGGGGCGCAACCCGGGGGAGCGGGUGAAACUGGCUGUCUUGAGAUGUCGAGAGGUAUGCGGAAUGCGCAGUGUAGCGGUGAAAUGCUUAGAUAUUGCGCAGAACUCCGAUUGCGAAGGCAGCAUACCGGCGGCGAUCUGACGCUGAGGCACGAAAGCGUGGGUAUCGAACAGGAUUAGAUACCCCAGUAGUA